rnacentral:rRNA from 1 species
UACGUAGGGGGCGAGCGUUGUCCGGAUUUAUUGGGCGUAAAGAGCGCGCAGGCGGCUGGUCAAGUCCGAUGUGAAAGCUCCCGGCUUAACUGGGAAAUUGCAUCGGAAACUGAUCGGCUGGAAGGUGGGAGAGGGUAGCGGAAUUCCCGGUGUAGUGGUGAAAUGCGUAGAUAUCGGGAGGAACACCAGUGGCGAAAGCGGCUACCUGGCCCAUUCUUGACGCUGAGGCGCGAAAGCUAGGGGAGCAAACGGG